ensembl:lncRNA
CGGAAAUACGCACCAAAGACCAAGUGACUCUCAGACACCAAAGACCCUUGUCCUCUUUGACACCAUCAGUUCACCAGAUGGACAAGUUGUGUGUAGCUCUCAUCACACUCUUUUGUGCUGUUUCCUCCAGUCAGGAUGGGAUCUCUGGAUCUGAGGUGGUUCUGUUAGUCAGACCAGGAGACAACAUCACUCUAUACUGUGACUGCAGAACAUCCACUGGUGUAUCCAUCACAUGGUUCAGGAACUGUUCUCAUGAGCACCAACCUACCCUGGUUAUUAGCAUUCAGGACAGUUUUAGAGAUCCGGAGAAGUUUGAAAAUAGUCAAAACCCUUUUCCACGGUUCAAACUGCAAUGGAACCCCUCUAACAACACCUAUGAUCUACUGAUUGAGAACAUCACUGGAUCUGACCUGGGACUCUACCACUGUGGGACUGAGGAGACUAAGCUGGUGGAUGAAGGAGGGAAAGGAGGUGUUAAAAAGAAGGUGUUGUACCUCUAUGGAAACGUCACCAAUAGACUUUCAUUUGAGGUCAUCCCAGAGGUCAUCCAAGUGACUGAAGACUGUGGUCUGUGUUGGAUUCUGAUGUUCAGUCUGUGUCCUGUGUCUGUUCUCCUCUCUUCUCUCCUCUCCUCCUUCUGUGUUUACUCCUUCUGCAGAAAAACAGCUCCAAAUGAGACUUCAGUUCCUCUGAACAGGACGUCGACUAGGGGAAGUGACAGUAGAGAGAAGGAGGAAGAAGACCUGUGUUAUGCCUCAUUGGACAUCCGUCAAGGACAGAAGAGACCAAAGAAGAAGAAUAAAAUCCAGAACUCUGACUUCAGUACCUACUCAGCCAUCAAUACCAUGAGAGUGUGACCUACACCAGCCAUCAAUUCCAUGAGAGUGUGACCUACACCAGCCAUCAAUACCAUGAGAGUGUGACCUAUACCAGCCACAAUACCAGCAGACUGUGACAUAUACUAGCCAUCAAUACCAGCAGACUGUGACCUAUACCUGCAUCCAAUACCAGCAGAAUGUGACAUAUACUAGCCAUCAAUACCAGCAAUAUGUGGGAACUAUACCAGUCAUCAGCAG